GGUGAGGAAAAUUAAAGUGAAGGCUAUCAGGAACAGCCUUUUCUGUGAGCUGUUUCCACUAGAAAGCUCAGUGGCAUGAAACUUCAUGGUGGGGAGUAAUUGAAGUAAAUUUGGUAGUUUGUGUCAUUUUAUACAGCUCUUAAUAGGUGAGUUUUGCGUGCGCCAGCUAAAUCCUCCAAUAGUAGUCGCCUUUAUUGUUUGGCAAGGCAUCAUGAUGUCUUUGCAAAGUUCUAAAGCAGAAGUUCUAAUUGCUUUUGUUUCAUAUUAACUUAAUUUGCUAGUAUCAUGCCUUUGUAGAUUAGAGUUUUUGGUAGAAUAAUACUUGUAUUAUUGCCUAUUUAGUUUUUCAAUAGUAGUCGAUCGAAUGCUUUA